GCCGAUGAUGACAUUGCGAGUGGCUGAACAGCAGGUUUAUUUUAUCUGCUGCAUCUUGUUGAAACAAAAUGCAAGAACUAGGACGGUCUGAGGC
rfam:Ananas comosus cultivar MD2 ACMD2_Scaffold_8435, whole genome shotgun sequence.